rnacentral:rRNA from 1 species
ACACCAAAAUUUUAUUUUAAUCCAACAUCGAGGUCGCAAUCUCUUCUUUCGAUAAGAACUCUCAAAAAAAAUUACGCUGUUAUCCCUAAGGUAAUUUUCUCUUUUAAUCUAAAAAUUAGGAUCAAAUAUUCAUAAAUUAAUGAUAUAAUAAAAAAAAAGUUAUUCAAAUUUUUCAAUCACCCCAACUAAAUUAAUAUUCAUAUAAAAAUAAUUUAAUACUAAAAAUUCUUAUAAUCAACUAAUAAAACUCUAUAGGGUCUUCUCGUCUUUUAUUAAAAAUUAAGCUUUUUUACUUAAAAAUAAAAUUCUAAUUAAUUUAAACAGAGACAGUAUUUUUCUCAUCUAACCUUUCAUUCCAGCUUCCAAUUAAAAAACUAAUGAUUAUGCUACCUUUGCACGGUCAAAUUACCGCGGCCAUUUAAACUUCAUUGGGCAGGCCAGACCUUAAAUUAUAAACAAAAG